GGAAGAAGUAGGGACAUCGAUGGCACUGGCAUGGCAGAAGAAGGAAAUCCAUGGUUUUCAAACCUAUCGAUUCUUCUCUCGUACUGCAUCAAGUGGAGUUAGAGAUAAAAUUGAUGAGAUUGAAUUCCAACCUCUUGAUCAGUGUUGCUGCUGCUGAUAUUGUAUAAGUACAAGUACCAAACUGGUUAUAACGGUAAAAUGGUGAACAUGGGGCCUGGAAGCAAGAUGCAGCAGUUGCAGAGAAAAGAGAAAUAGCAACAGAGAAAGAUUGAAGCAAAAAGGGGGAAAAUCUUAUUCAUGCAACUUGAAUGAUUACAACCAUUAUGAUCAAUCUUAUAUACUAAAGGAUGUAACUAACUAUCUAACUAUCUAACUAACUAUUACAACAAACUUAAAAACCAACUUGUAACUGCCUAACUAACUUUCACAAUGCAGUUAGCUUGUAAGGCAAGUAAGAUAGAAUCUAGUUGUUAUCUUUGUCAUUAACAUAGUGAAUGGCUGAUGACC